rnacentral:rRNA from 2 species
CAACAACGGAUCUCUUGGUUCUGGCAUCGAUGAAGAACGCAGCGAAAUGCGAUAAGUAAUGUGAAUUGCAGAAUUCAGUGAAUCAUCGAAUCUUUGAACGCACAUUGCGCCCGCCAGUAUUCUGGCGGGCAUGCCUGUUCGAGCGUCAUUU